rnacentral:rRNA from 1 species
UACGGGGGGAGCAAGCGUUGUUCGGAUUUACUGGGCGUAAAGGGCGCGUAGGCGGUCAGCACAAGUCAGUUGUGAAAUCUCCGAGCUUAACUCGGAAAGGUCAACUGAUACUGUCGUGCUAGAGUACAGAAGGGGCAACUGGAAUUCUCGGUGUAGCGGUGAAAUGCGUAGAUAUCGAGAGGAACACCUGCGGCGAAGGCGGGUUGCUGGGCUGAUACUGACGCUGAGGCGCGAAAGCUAGGGGAGCGAACGGG